rnacentral:snRNA from 1 species
GUGCUUGCUUCGGCAGCAUGCACAGUAAAAUUGAAACAACACAGGAUUAGCAUGGCCCCUGUACAAGGAUAACAAGCCAUUCGUGAAGUACUCCAUGUUACU